rnacentral:rRNA from 1 species
CGGGCUUGAGUGCGGUAGGGGAGACUGGAAUUCCCGGUGUAACGGUGGAAUGUGUAGAUAUCGGGAAGAACACCAAUGGCGAAGGCAGGUCUCUGGGCCGUCACUGACGCUGAGGAGCGAAAGCGUGGGGAGCGAACAGGAUUAGAUACCCUGGUAGUCCACGCCGUAAACGGUGGAUGCUGGAUGUGGGGACCAUUCCACGGUCUCCGUGUCGGAGCCAACGCGUUAAGCAUCCCGCCUGGGGAGUACGGCCGCAAGGCUAAAACUCAAAGAAAUUGACGGGGGCCCGCACAAGCGGCGGAGCAUGCGGAUUAAUUCGAUGCAACGCGAAGAACCUUACCUGGGCUUGACAUGUUCCCGACAGCCCCAGAGAUGGGGCCUCCCUUCGGGGCGGGUUCACAGGUGGUGCAUGGUCGUCGUCAGCUCGUGUCGUGAGAUGUUGGGUUAAGUCCCGCAACGAGCGCAACCCUCGCCCUGUGUUGCCAGCACGUCGUGGUGGGAACUCACGGGGGACCGCCGGGGUCAACUCGGAGGAAGGUGGGGAUGACGUCAGAUCAUCAUGCCCCUUACGUCCAGGGCUUCACGCAUGCUACAAUGGCCGGUACAACGGGAUGCGACACCGCGAGGUGGAGCGGAUCCCUUAAAACCGGUCUCAGUUCGGAUUGGAGUCUGCAACCCGACUCCAUGAAGGCGGAGUCGCUAGUAAUCGCGGAUCAGCAACGCCGCGGUGAAUGCGUUCCCGGGCCUUGUACACACCGCCCGUCAAGUCAUGAAAGUGGGUAGCACCCGAAGCCGGUGGCCCAACCUUUUGGGGGGAGCCGUCUAAGGUGAGACUCGUGAUUGGGACUAAGUCGUAACAAGGUAGCCGUACCGGAAGGUGCGGCUG